UAGAGGCAGCAGGAGGUUGUGUGGCAGAAGGAAAUGGAAGCCCAGAUGAAGGCAACCAAGGUUAUCUUUCCUGCAAAAAUCUCCUUCCAUUGCCAAGACAGAGAGAAAAUUGCUGAAGCUCUAUUUCACAUUCUUUCAUCUUGAUGCAAUAGCUACUGGAGAAAGGAGCCAGUGGCACAAGUUGAUGGAAAAAGAAGUCCUUCAGGGCAUCAGAGCUGUGACACUGUGACAAACAGUGGGACACCAGAGGCUGCAGAUGACUGGUGGGAAGCAAGGAGCCUUUAUUACCUGUGUUGGAAAGCAGAAUCACUUCUACACCUCUCAAGGUCAGAUCUGGACAAUGCCUUGUGUAGUCCACAUCAGGCAGUCUCAGACCAAGGUUCGUCUCAUCCUGAAGAAAAUAGCACACCAACAUUUUGGCUACUCCUGGGCAGUGAUCCCACAGCACCAAGAUGACAAUCCAACCACACUGGCUCCCAAGCAUGUAACCUGGGAGUAGGCAAGAGGCUGGGAGGGAACAUAGUCAGGACAGCUGAUCCAAACUGGCCAAAGGGAUAUUCCAUGCCAUAUUUCUGCUCAGCAAUACAAGCUAGGAAAAAGGAGGGAGGUGGUGGGGGGACUCAAUCAUUAUUAACGCAUUUGUCUUCCAAAGUAACCACUGCACAUACCAAAACCAUACUUCCUAGUAGUUGGAUGGAAAUCACCUGUUGAUGGGAAAUAGAGAAGAAAUUGAGUUAUUUUUUCCUGCUUCCACAUUUGGUCUUUGCUUGUAUUUAUUAAAUGGCCUUUAUCUUGACCCAUGAGCAUUUCACUUUGUUUUCUCUUCUGUCCUGCUGAGUGGAGGGAGUAAGAGAGUGGCUUGGUGGGCAUCUGGUGGCCAGCAAAGGUCAACCCACCAUAAAAAUUCAGACGAAUUUCGCCCAUUUCUUCUAGGAGAGGAGGAGCACAGGAUGAGUAGCUCAGAUAUGGGCAUUCACAGUAAGGUAAGGUGAACACCACCAUCUACAUCCUUUCCUGACUGAGGACUGAGUAUCUUCAUCUCUAUUAUCAGCUCCUGAUAUGAGCAACCCUUCUGCAGGCGUGAUAGCAAACCCACUUAUGUCAGAAGGAGUGUUCACUUGCUGGAAACCACAUGAGCUUAACAGCAAUAUUGGAUCCAGAUAAUGGAUCCAUUGUUUGGGGUAAUUAGCACUCUAUGCCUUAGUUUCCCCGUGUGGAAUAAAUGUUGAUUCAUACUUACCA
rnacentral:lncRNA from 1 species